rnacentral:rRNA from 1 species
UACGGGGGGGGCAAGCGUUGUUCGGAAUUACUGGGCGUAAAGGGCUCGUAGGCGGCCAACUAAGUCAGACGUGAAAUCCCCAGGCUUAACCUGGGAACUGCGUCUGAUACUGGAGGGCUCGAAUCCGGGAGAGGGAUGUGGAAUUCCAGGUGUAGCGGUGAAAUGCGUAGAUAUCUGGAGGAACACCGGUGGCGAAGGCGGUUCUCUGGGCCUGUACUGACGCUGAGGAGCGAAAGCGUGGGGAGCAAACAGG